rnacentral:rRNA from 1 species
UACGUAGGCAGCGAGCGUUGUUCGGAGUUACUGGGCGUAAAGGGUGUGUAGGCGGUUGUUUAAGUUUGGUGUGAAAUCUCCCGGCUCAACUGGGAGGGUGCGCCGAAUACUGAAUGACUUGGAGUACGGGAGAGGUGAGUGGAAUUCCUGGUGUAGCGGUGAAAUGCGUAGAUAUCAGGAGGAACACCCGUAGCGAAGGCGGCACUCUGGGCCGAUACUGACACUGAGGAGCGAAAGCGUGGGGAGCGAACAGG